rnacentral:rRNA from 1 species
AGCCUUUGACAUGUCCCGUAUGGACCUUGGAGACAGGGUCCUUCAGUUCGGCUGGCGGGAACACAGGUGCUGCAUGGCUGUCGUCAGCUCGUGUCGUGAGAUGUUGGGUUAAGUCCCGCAACGAGCGCAACCCUCGCCCUUAGUUGCCAUCCUUCAGUGGGGCACUCUAAGGGGACUGCCGGUGAUAAGCCGCGAGGAAGGUGGGGAUGACGUCAAGUCCUCAUGGCCCUUACGGGCUGGGCUACACACGUGCUACAAUGGCGGUGACAAUGGGCAGCCAACCCGCGAGGGGGAGCUAAUCCCAAAAAGCCGUCUCAGUUCAGAUUGCACUCUGCAACUCGAGUGCAUGAAGGCGGAAUCGCUAGUAAUCGUGGAUCAGAACGCCACGG